rnacentral:lncRNA from 1 species
AAUCUUGAAACAAUAACAAAAUCCAGGCUAGGGCUACUAUACUCUUAUGAGUAUAAGCCCUUUUGUACUCAUAAGUUUUCUACUGUUGAAUGAAAAGAUGUACGGUUAGAAUAAUAGUUGUUUUCGGUUAGGUUAAUAUAUAGUGGUUUCCUAGGGUCGAGUGGGCGAUUGAUUGAAUAGUAUGAUCUAAAGACUGAAAAUGAUCAAAGUAGUAAACCUAACGGCAAAAAACUUAUGAGUAUAAAAAAGCCUAUACUCAUAAGAGUAUAGUAGCAGAACUCCAAAAUCCAUCUCUU